rnacentral:rRNA from 1 species
GGCGGCACGCCUAACACAUGCAAGUCGAACGCAGUAGCAAUACUGAGUGGCAAACGGGUGAGUAUAAUGUGGGAAUCUGCCUUUUGGUUUGGAAUAACACGGGGAAACUUGUGCUAAUACCGAAUAAGCCUUUACAGGGAAAGUUUUAAUGCCGAAAGAUGAGCCCGCACUUGAUUAGCUAGUUGGUAAGGUAAAAGCUUACCAAGGCAAUGAUCAAUAGCUGUUCUUAGAGGAAGACCAGCCACAUUGGGACUGAGACACGGCCCAGACUCCUACGGGAGGCAGCAGUGGGGAAUCUUGCACAAUGGGGGAAACCCUGAUGCAGCGAUGCCGCGUGAGUGAAGAAGGCCCUUGGGUUGUAAAACUCUUUCGUCGGGGAAGAAAAUGACUGUACCCGAAUAAGAAGGUCCGGCUAACUUCGUGCCAGCAGCCGCGGUAAUACGAAGGGACCUAGCGUAGUUCGGAAUUACUGGGCUUAAAGAGCUCGUAGGUGGUUAAAAAAGUUGAUGGUGAAAUCCCAAGGCUUAACCUUGGAACUGCCAUCAAAACUUUUUAGCUAGAGUGUGAUAGAGGUAAGUGGAAUUUCUAGUGUAGAGGUGAAAUUCGUAGAUAUUAGAAAGAACACCAAAUGCGAAGGCAACUUACUGGGUCACUACUGACACUGAGGAGCGAAAGCAUGGGUAGCGAAGAGGAUUAGAUACCCUCGUAGUCCAUGCCGUAAACGAUGUGUGCUAGACGUUGGAAAUAUAUUUUUCAGUGUCGCAGCGAAAGCAUUAAGCACACCGCCUGGGGAGUAC